GGAGCAGCAACGAUGUUACGCAGCAGGGCAGUCGCCCUAAAACAAAGUUAACCCAGGAUGAGAACCUUGAAAG
rfam:Pantoea sp. PSNIH1 plasmid pKPC-1c5, complete sequence.